rnacentral:rRNA from 1 species
AAUUUAACUUAAUAGUUAAAAGGCUAUGAUGUUUUAAAAAGACGAGAAGACCCUAUAGAGUUUAAUUUUUUUAAAAUUUAAUAAGUAUGGAUUUUAAAUUAUUAUAUUAUAAAAAAAAUUUUGUUGGGGUGAUAUAAAGAUUUAAUAAACUCUUUUUAUGUUUAACAUUGAUUUAUGAAUAUAUUGAUCUAAUUUUUUAAUUAAUAGAUAAAAUUACCUUAGGGAUAACAGCAUAAUUUCUUAUAAAGUUCAUAUUUACAUAGGAGAUUGUGACCUCGAUGUUGGAUUAAAAUUAAAUUUUGGUGCAGAAGCUUAAGAUUUAAGUCUGUUCGACUUUUAAAAUUUUACAUGAUCUGAGU